rnacentral:rRNA from 1 species
UACAGAGGGGGCAAGCGUUGUUCGGAAUUACUGGGCGUAAAGGGCGCGUAGGCGGCCUGCUAAGUCGAACGUGAAAUCCCUGGGCUCAACCCAGGAACUGCGUCCGAUACUGGUUGGCUUGAAUCCGGGAGAGGGAUGUAGAAUUCCAGGUGUAGCGGUGAAAUGCGUAGAUAUCUGGAGGAACACCGGUGGCGAAGGCGGCAUCCUGGACCGGUAUUGACGCUGAGGCGCGAAAGCCAGGGGAGCAAACGGG